AUGCUUUUAUAUUUGUUUCAGACUUUUCUUUGUCCAAUAUGGACACGGAUAUUUUGGGAGACUGUUACGGAAGCGAUGCUCUCAGUCCAUUCCUAAGACUCAGUCCACCACCCAAUGACAGAGACUAUAUCUUCAAUUUGGCUGACAGUGAGGGUGUGGCCGACUUGUUUGAUGUCCCCAUGAUAAUGAAAUGACGCAUAUUCCUCAGCAGGUCAAUCUUCUUUUAGACACGUGUACCUGACGAUGAUGAUGGUGGUGCUACAAGUGAGUUUUGAGGAAGUUUGCUUGGCGGCUCCUCCUCGCUCAGGAUUUCCAAUUGAAA